AACGGCGAAGUGAAGCGGCAAAAGCUCAAAUUUGAAAUCUGGCCCCGUCAGGAGCCCGAGUUGUAAUUUGGAGAGGACACUUCGGGUGUGGCUGCGGUGUAAGUCCCUUGGAACAGGGCGUCAUAGAGGGUGAGAAUCCCGUCUUGCGCCGCCGGACCACGCCCAUGCGAAGUUCCUUCGACGAGUCGAGUUGUUUGGGAAUGCAGCUCUAAGUGGGUGGUAAAUUUCAUCUAAAGCUAAAUAUUGGCCAGAGACCGAUAGCGAACAAGUAGAGUGAUCGAAAGGUUAAAAGCACCUUGAAAAGGGAGUUAAAUAGCACGUGAAAUUGUUGAAAGGGAAGCGCUUGCAACCAGACUCGGUCGCGGGGGCUCAGCGGGCAUGCGUGCCCGUGUACUCCCCCGCGUUCGGGCCAGCAUCGGUUCCGGCGGUUGGUCAAAGGCCCCUGGAAUGUGUCGUCCUCCGGGACGUCUUAUAGCCAGGGGUGCAAUGCUGCCAGCCGGGACCGAGGAACGCGCUUCGGCACGGAUGCUGGCAUAAUGGUUGUAAGCGGCCCGUCUUGAAACACGGACCAAGGAGUCUAACAUCCACGCGAGUGUUCGGGUGUCAAACCCGUGCGCGCAGUGAAAGCGAACGGAGGUAGGAGCCCUCGCGGGUGCACUAUCGACCGAUCCUGAAGUCUUCGGAUGGAUUUGAGUAGGAGCGUGGCUGUUGGGACCCGAAAGAUGGUGAACUAUGCCUGAAUAGGGUGAAGCCAGAGGAAACUCUGGUGGAGGCUCGCAGCGGUUCUGACGUGCAAAUCGAUCGUCAAAUUU
rnacentral:rRNA from 2 species